GACGUAGGGUCAGACGUUGUCCGGAUUUACUGGGCGUAAAGAGCGCGUAGGCGGUCCGUUAAGUGAGAAGUGAAAGCUCCGAGCUCAACUCGGAAAUUGCUUUUCAUACUGGCGGACUUGAGGGUGGCAGAGGUUUGUGGAAUUCCUGGUGUAGCGGUGAAAUGCGUAGAUAUCAGGAGGAACACCCAUGGCGAAGGCAGCAAACUGGGCCACAUCUGACGCUGAGGCGCGAAAGCGUGGGUAGCAAACAGG
rnacentral:rRNA from 1 species